rnacentral:rRNA from 1 species
UACGGAGGGGGCUAGCGUUGUUCGGAAUUACUGGGCGUAAAGCGCGCGUAGGCGGACCUGCAAGUCGGGGGUGAAAGCCCGAGGCUCAACCUCGGAACUGCCUUCGAUACUGCGGGUCUCGAGUCCGGGAGAGGUGAGUGGAAUUCCCAGUGUAGAGGUGAAAUUCGUAGAUAUUAGGAAGAACACCAGUGGCGAAGGCGGCUCUCUGGAACGCAACUGACGCUGAGACGCGAAAGCGUGGGGAGCAAACAGG